UUCUUAUCGUUGGUUUCAGAGAAGUUGAGUGCGAUGAGCGGGAUCUUGUUGAUUGUGCUGUAUUUGUUCAGAUUGGAGUCUGAUGUCGAUCCCAGCAGACUGGACUUCAGAUGAUUGAACGGACCUGAAGAGGCCGUGCUGGUUAACAGCUGAUGGAAGUCAUUCAGCAUGCAGCAUUGAUCUGCUGUCCCGAUGCAUCCGUCCCGUUCAAUGGGAUGUCAAGAGGAACUGCCUGUACAAGUCUGAAUCACAACUGAGCCAUUCCAAACCACCUCAACGCAGGAAGGUCCAGACUAGAGCUUUAUUGAAAUAGCAGCAAAUGUUCUGUAUGAUCUAAUCAAGACAUCAAUAACAGCUGAGAGGAGAAAUCAGGCUGAAAAUGGAUAAUCACGAAACGGCAUGACGCCCCAGACGCUCUGAUGAUGCUCUGAUCUGAAGUCUGAAGGUGCUUUUGAAGAAAGAUAACGGGUUUGAUCUGGAUUUUUAGGCGUUUGGAGUUUGCGCUCAGCCCUUCGAUGUCGUGAACGGAGGAGGCCCGUCUCCUGCUACAUACGCUGUCUCUAGAGAUGGACUGGGCCAGGCAGGUGGUGGACUGCGCUUGAGACGGACUGGGCCGGUCCCAGGGCUGCUUGGGUGAUGAGUGGUCAAGCGGUAUGGACGCACUGACCGGGGAAGA